AGUUUCCAUCAUUUGUUCUUGCUUUCUCCUUUUCCACACAGCUGAUUCUUGGACUUGAUGUCCAAAGAUUAUUUCCUGUUUUCUGCAUUAGGAUAUUUCUCAUCAUUAAUUAGGCCCUGAUGGUUUUAGGAUACUGCAGACCGAGGAUAAUAAUGACAUUUUGCAAGUACAAAGACAAAAACUAUCUAUUUAAUUUUUCUUACAUUGUUCUAUUCAUGCAGCCUUGCUCUUCAUGUUCUUGGUUUUGUUGGGUUACAGUUGAAGUGUGAUGCAGCCAAACAUGACAAGAAAAGCAGCAUAAAUCUGCGAUCAUCAAUUUUUCUUUCUUGGAUAGAGACUAAAAGAAAAAAAAAAAAGGAAUUUAUUCUUCUUUUAUGGCCUUGUGCAGCAAGUACAAGUCAAGCAUUUUCUUUUACACUGUUAUCUUUGCCUGCAACUUUCUGUCUACAGCUAUGUGUUCACACCACCAAAGAAAAAGGAAAUAAGAAGGAAAUCUAUGCAUUUUGAUGCUAUUGUGAUAUGCUGUUUCUUUGAUUUAAAGGGUGAAGCUUCCCAUUGUAUGCUCAAGUUGUCUUUUCAGAGACAGUAGGAGCCGCGGAUCACAAAUCAUGAGCCUUCCACCUCUUCCACUAGCCCUUGACCUGUUCUUCCUUCGUAUAUCUUCUCUUGAUUUAUCAUUUGUUAUCUAUCUUGGUACAUUUCUUCGUCUCAAAGCCUAAAGCCACUCCUCAGAGUGGAGGCUAACAUGCAGCUGCUUGUUUCCUUCAUUUUCUUCUCAUGUGUUGACUGACGUACACUCUGUGAAGAGUAAGCAACACCCAUGGAGGGCAUGGAAUGGAAGGGAUGCGUGUAUAGGAUUAGGAAGUGCGUCUUUGAUCUCCUCUCAAUGGAAGAAGAUCUGAUCGACGACGACGAAGACACAUGGGAGCUCAUGGGAAGCAGUCUUCGCCUCAAGUCCACCUUCUUGUACUGUGACCUCAACCAGGUAAUCUCAAGAGCAAAAGACGAGCGCAAGAAGUUCCUCACUGACCUCGCCAAUAAACUCUUCUGCUACAUGGAGCAAGUAAUUCUGCUUCUUGCCAUGUUAAUUCCCUUGAUUUAUCUUGCAAGUAGACCUUCGAUCUUCCUGUUGAUAUCUGUUGAGCCAACGGAGAUUCAAGUGCUACUUGUUCCUAAUCAUUUGUGGUAAAUGGCAGCUGGAUCAUGCUGUUAAGAGCCGAAGCAUCUCCCUGACACAGAUUCGCUACAACGACACAGCUCAUGUGUUACAGGAAGUCAUGGCUGCUCUCGUGCCUUCUCUCUAAAAACUAAAGUUGACUUUUUGAGCAUGCUAGCAUCUUGCAGGGAAGUAGGAAGCAAGAGGAGCAGCUUUAUGUUCAAAACAAAUAUCCUCUCUCUUUUUGUUUUGAUUUUGGAGCUCUUUUCCCUGUUUACAUCUGCAUUGACAGCAUGUUGGUACUGUAAAUAUCCUGUAUGGAUCCAAAAUGAAAGAAGAGAAGAAAUAGAUGCCUGUUUUGGUUCUUCA